UAGGGAAUCUUCCACAAUGGGCGCAAGCCUGAUGGAGCAACGCCGCGUGAGUGAAGAAGGGUUUCGGCUCGUAAAGCUCUGUUGUUAAAGAAGAACACGUAUGAGAGUAACUGUUCAUACGUUGACGGUAUUUAACCAGAAAGUCACGGCUAACUACGUGCCAA
rnacentral:rRNA from 1 species